AGGUUACUCUCUCUCCGUUACCGUCAAAUAACAGCGGGGGGAAAUAUCCUACUGUUUCUUCAUCACUAUGCCGUCAGUUCCGCUUCCUACUUGACUGAAUCUGCCGCCAUGGAAGGGGAUAAUCUAACUGCAGAAUUGUUACAUAAACACUGAUGGGAAUGCAGAGGAGAUAUAUUGGUUCCCUUCUCAAAUAUUCCAGGUCCAAUUUUCGCUUCCAAAAUUCUAAAAUUACAUAUUCUGAUCCUUUUUACGUCAUUGAUUAAGUUUUUCAUGAACCAGUUCAACUUAGAUUUUGCUGUUUUUUUCGUCUGCCUCAGAUUCUGUAUCAUUUGUAGUUUAAUAUGUUUUUGAGUUGCAAACAACUUUUGAGCUAAAGUUGGCAUCUUUUGGUCUGUGGAUUUUACCCUAAAAGUUCCAUUUGUUUCUCAGAUGGCAAAUUCGUAAUUUUGUUGGAUUGUUUUAGUUACGCUUAUGGCGUCUGAAAUUGGUCCGUAAGUAUUGAUAAGUGAUGUUCUGUUCCUAUUCCUCUGAAAUCUUUCGUUUGCCCACCCGAAAACCUUGAUGAAAACAGAGGCAGAUGCUUCCUUAUUUAUUGGGUUCAACUUCUGAACCCAGUAAUUUGGAUACGGAACAUAAAUAUAAAUGGAAAAGUAGUAGAAUUUCAACAAAUUUUAAAUUACGAAUCUGUAAUUACAAAAGUGCAAUGAAUUCAAUAGUAAGAACUUAAAUGUUGAACCUAUCAUAUCUAAAUUCUGGAGCUGCCUCUUGAUACAAAUGUUAUGGCCAAGAGGGAAAGGUUAUGAUGUAAUAUGGUUUAACUAACCCUAAAGCUAGGUCAUCUCUGUACAAUCUCUUGUAGGGCCCUAUUCAGUUGUGUUCAUUAUUGUAGUAACAGCUAUAUGUAUCAUCUCUCUUCGGUUGUCCCUAUAAGGGUUUCAUGAACUGGAGUUCCAGGUUCUGGUGUAGAAAACCCUUCUUCUGUAAGGGAUGCUCCUAGGCUGUCGGAAAUUCUGAUGUCUGGGCUUUGCGAGGCAAGAUGGAGCAAUAUUUCAGGGGAAGCUGCACUUGCUGCAAAAGGUGUAGCCGUUUGGCUCUCAUUGUCUUCUGGCAUUUCUGACUUAGAAUUAGAGCUAUCUUUCUCUUCAUCAAAGACUUUAGCUAUUGUAGAAAGCUUUUGCCAUAUUGAAUCAUCAGUGUCUAAGAUUUCUCUAUUCUGAUAAAGGAAGAUGAGGAAGAAUAUGAGAAGAGCAGAACCAGCUGAUACACCAGCUAUGAGGAAAAGGCCCUUAAAACUAUCUAGUGUGAGGCUGUCCGAUGUUAUAGCCAUUCCAUCUUUCUCUGGGCAAUCUGUUUCAUUCCCAAACCAUUUCUGUAUUAUGUUAUUCAUAAACUCUCCCUCCAUCACCUUUAGGACUCCUCUCGAGACGUCAGGUACCAAUGGAGAUCCUUUUGGAAAUGCCUGCAAGAAGUUAUGGAGAAAAAAAAUGGAUUAGAUCGUUGAAACUACAAUCCUAUCUAAAAAUGUAAAAGCAUUCCAAAACACCACUGGAGUGCGAGAAUCUUACGAAUCCAAAGCCAGCAGCCUUGUAAGUUGGACCGACCAUAAUGUACUUCCUGCAGUACUUGUUGAGGAAAAGUCUCAGAUAAGGUAGUUCAUCAACAAUUGCACCAACUCCCCCAUUUUUACUUCCUCUUGAGAGGGCAUCAUUGUACUCUUCCAAUGUACUAUAACUCUUAAACUUGGAGCUAUCAAAAUUCAUGCGCUUCAAGACGUCUUUGACAAAGGAACCUUCUUGGUACCCAACAUAUUCUCCAUUUGUUAUGAGAUCAUUGAGGUUUGUUACAGUAGGUUGGAGCUGUUGCACUGUUAACAUAGAUGUUAAGUUGGCUGUAUAACUUGAUGUCAGUACUAGCACCACGAAAACCCACACAAUAAUCACGAAUCUUGUUAAGUUGCUUGUUACCCUCUCUCCUGCAGCAACCAGCCAUAUCAUUUGUUGAGAAACAAGGAGAAUGUAAAGGUUUCAUAUGUACUGUGCUUUAAGUAAGAGACUUACUGUGUGCAAAAACGAGAGUUGAGAAGGAAAACCAGAAUAUCAUCCCAACUUGCUUGUGUUUGGGUCCUCGAAACUCUUUGUUUACACGAUGCUCGAGUACCCAAACCACAAAACCAAUGAAGACGAAGAAUGCUCCAGUUGUUAUCCAAAGUUCGGUCUUUAGAGGUUUCAAGAAAAUCCAAGCAUUCUUCCUCUCAUCAUCCCUUACUGGCACUACUGCAGAAAUACCCGACUCCGUGAAAGGUAAUGUGAAAUCCACAUACUUGGAUCGGUUCGCUAAAAUGGUCACAUCACCUAUAACUGCAUCAUAUUCCUGGUUCAAGCAAACAAUGUUUAUUGCAUCAAUUAUGGUGGGUCAAAAAUCUGAAAGUAGAUAAGAAAGUCCCAAGAGAGAGCAUGUGAGUAAGGUAUUCAACCAAAGACAUUAAUUCAAACAAGGAUUAUAUAUUACCUUGGAAGAGAUCUUGUAAAUAAGAUCAUCAUAGUCUGGAAGAGUUAGGGUAUCUGGUAUUCGAAAUGGAAUAAGUUCGUACGGGACAGCAAAUGGCAAAGAUUGGAUGACUUCUUUGAAGACAUCUGCACAGAAACCAGUUGCAGUUACUGCUUGUGUUUUUGAAUCUAUUUCCACUUUGAUGAAUUGCUCCAAGCCUCCUUUGACAGGAACUCCAACCCUUAACUUCUUCCCACUUGUGGGCAUCUCCCAGCCUCUCGGAACAAUAGUCGAUUCACCCGGCCAAAUGAUGGUACCUAGUUGCUUAUUACUACUAUUAGCUGUUUUCCCAUUCAUAGUCAGUUUAUAUGAAAUUCCAUCACUCUCUGUCCAGAAUCCAAUGCUUCUCUCUCCUUUCCCAAUUAUGUUCACAAUCUGAUAUGGGGAUGGCUGCAAUUCUCCAUCAAUGAUACGGAAAUCACCACUUAGUCCUCUUUUUAGGGAUGUGUUUUGCAGAGUGUCAAUGAGCAAAGAUCCCAAUUCUGAGGUUCCAAGUGCAUCUAAGUCCGAUAAGUUCUCUUUAGUGUCUGGUUUCUUGACUUCUGGGAUGGCAGUUGUGCCCACAUUCUGUACUGCUUUUGCUAAGACGGUAAUGCUAUCAUAUGCCCAUAGCCCGUAAACAUUGAGUUCAACUUGGUCCAUGUUUGGAUACUCUUGACGAAAUCUCUCUCUCCAUCUCUUGGUGAAAUUGUUAAGCUCAUGUGAUCUUGGAAAGUAAGGCUUUACACCAAGAACACCUUGCAUUGAUGACUCAAUCACUGAAGGAUCUACCGAGUCUAGAAGACUCGUUAGCACAUCUGUGAUGAUCCAUGCAUAUCCACUGCUCAUCAUCCCAGCUUCUUUGGCUUUGAAGAAAAGGCGUGAGGCAAGAAAUGACUGCAAGUGCACGAUGAACACCCUCGUCUGCAUUGUAUUCAACUUGUAUAGCUCCCUGAGGAUUUGAUCAUCAUUGGCUGAAGGAGAAAUAACACUUCUAUAGGAGACUAAAGUGCUAAUUUCCAGUAAAGCAUCAGUCAAAUGUGGAACUAUCCCCGUUCCAAAGGGGCUAUCCUCAUAGAUGAUUACAACCUCCCUCCACUCAUAGUUUUUAACAAUUGCUGCUAUGGCUUUAGUCUGGCUGGAAGAAGGAAGUGCUGCUCUGAUGAAGUAGGGAUUUUCCUUGACUGAAAGUGAAGGACUUGUUGCUGGAGAAAUGACAGGAACCUUUACUUUGUUCCCUAUGUCAAUCACAAAAUCAGUUUGUGUAGACAUUUGUGGCCCAAAGAUAGCUUGUACUUUGACAUCCUUUAGCAAGUAUAUGGCUGCACACACACAAUUAGACUGUAAGAUAUUGUCUGAACAUCCCUUUCAAAAUAGGAAAACCAGUGAAAAUAAGAGUAUCUUAGGGAAAAAAGACAAUAUCUUGUGCAAGUAGCCAUAAUACCAGAGUAAGAUAUGUUAGUUUAAAGCAGUAAAUCACCAGCUAAAUUUACCUGCGGAUGCUGCUUCAACAUCAUCUUUCUUGGAAUCUCUGAAGUGAGGGACUAUCCUAAUGGCACUGCGAUUAGCGGCAUGGUAAUCUUCAAGAGCUAGCAAUAUGCAUGUGUGCAUUACUUUUGCCACAUUUGUUUCCAGAUCAAGAAUUAUACCUACAUCUACCUUCUUUAUGACAUUAGUUUCAUCUUGACCUCUUAUUGGCAUUAUGUGGUAGCAAAAGCUAAUGAUAGAGACAAACUGAAUGAAAAGAAUCAGGAAGUGGCAUCUUUGGUUUUGCAUCUGAAAAGCUCUGUAAAUAUUCUAAGAGUUGGCCAACAAGCAGUUGGGGCUUUUUGAAAGUAACUACCUUUCAGAGAUGUGUGUAAAGCUCUCUCAAUUAGGAAGCUCUGGAUAUAUAAUCAUAUACUUCAACCAAUACUUUGCCUUCGUACCUAUAACUACGUAGCAUGAAAAGUCGAAAAUAAAACCUUCAAAUAAGAGUCGUGAGAGGACUUUUAGCUAGCAAGAUUCCUCCUUAAUUUGACCAAAUCAAAUGUUGACUAAAUUAAAACACUGACAAAAUUGAUAUUGGUUUGAACUUUGCGUGGUACUCAUUCCUCCAAUUCACAAUUAGUUUUGUAUUCAUUUGAUGCCGACUAUAUAGAGGAUAUUGAAUGGACUUUUCUUAUUUUGGCAAAGGCAGAGGGAGUUGACAAAUUUAGCUCAGUCAAAUCCUAUGAAAAUUACCAUAAGUAGAGCUGUAGAAGAGAACAUUGUGUCUAGACUUAGAUAAGGUUACUACUACUAUAUACCAAAAUAUUAUUUUACGCGGUUUGAGUUCAGACUUGGUCAGUAGUAACUUGCUUGCACAUCAAAAUUAGUGCAUGGAAUGGAAUGAUGAUACAGUUAGAUGGAAGAAGUAAACUUUAUGUAGUUGCCAUUGGCUCACCCUAAUUGUUAAUGUUAAAGAGUAAAAUAUACUAUAGAAGAAUUAACUUAAAUGGCAGCCCACUCAAUUAAUUAAACUAAAAAUAGCCGACGAAUAUAUAAUAUGUGUAUAAUUUAUAUAUAACAUAUAUAUAAUUAUGUAUAAUAAGUGUAUAAUCUAUAUAUACCAGCUAGAAAAAGUAAACGAUAAAACUGGCCGGCUAUUUGUGUAAAGAUCCUAGUACAUGCAUUGCGAAUUUUCUUUCUUAUUUAUCCGGGAUUUUAAAUGGAAUUUUUACAUCCUAUAGAAAACCUUAGUACCCUAUUUAUUUUAAAUAAAUACCAUUUUAAAAUAUUACAUCCUAUACAUACCUUUUAUACUUUAUAGCCAAAUAUCUAAUUAUAGUUACAUCCUACAUUUAAGGCACCAUAUAUGCUAAAUAAUAUUUUUCUCUCUCCUUUUUAGUGUUUUCUCUCACAUAAUCACAGUAAAAUUGACUAACCACGUUCUCUCUCUUUUUGCAUACACUUUACUCUUUCUCCCUCAACCCACGAUUCAUACCUCUCCUCCCACCCAAAUUCUCUAGUUCUCCUCCAUUCUCACUCCAUUACAAUCGCCUAGGGUAAGUUUAAUUCGUUGAUUUUGAUAGACGAAGAGCAAUUGGUUCAACUGUAGCGGCUCGAUUCUGCUUGGCAGUGGUCGUUGAAGUAGGGUUCACAACUUUUGCGUAAUUCAUGGCUUCGUUUGUGGGAUUUGAGGGCUGGGGAUUGUUUGUAGUUGUUGUAGGAGGUUGGGCAGCUGUGUUAAGGGGCUGACCAACCGGAAUUAAUGGUUGUCCGCCGGCCGGCGAAGCCAUCAGGCUGCUUCUCUCUCUAGAUCGCCCAAAUCGCCUAUUUUAUAUUCAGUUGUAUUCGAAUGUAUAUUUCAGCUGUAUUCACAUGUAUUCAGUAGCAUUAAUUUAUAUAUUUUAGAUGUAUUAAAAAGUUAUGCGUAUUCUCUUGUAUUCAGUUUUAAUCAGUUGUAUUUAACUAUUUUAUUCAGCAGAAGUUAGUUGUAUUUUGUUUCAUUCAAGAGUUUUAUCCAGCUGUAUUCAGUUGUAUUUUGUUGUAUUCAAGUGUUUUAUUCAGAUGAAUUAAGUUGUAUUUUGUUGUAUUCAACUGUAUACAGUUCUACUCAACUGUAUUAUUCAUAUGUAUUUCUCUUUAUUCAGCUAUAAUCUUUAUUAUGUAUCUUUCAAAUACAGAUUAAUGAGGGAUCGUUUUAGUUCGUUGAGUUAAAUUAGGAGAAUAUCAUGUGAUUUGAUUUCCUUAGUCCGUGGAGUUAAAUUAGGAGAAUAUCAUGUGAUUUGAUUUUCUUCCGUUUUUAACCAGUUUAACCUUCUGUAUUUAACGUUAAUGCCGCUUGAAUACAGCUAAAUACAUGUCAAACUUAGCUGGAAUUCCAGUUUUUACGCCUAUUUUUUUGGUUGUAUUAAUGAAUACAACAACU
rnacentral:lncRNA from 1 species